GCGCAGGUGUGGAAAUUGGUAGACCAGCACGCUUGAGGUGCGUGUGCCUCACGGCAUGGGGGUUCGAGUCCCCCCCUGCGCA
rnacentral:tRNA from 1 species